rnacentral:lncRNA from 1 species
AGACUCAGAGCUUUGCAGGGGGACAGAGAUUGGCUCUGUGACCUCAAUUCUCUGAUGGAUCAAAAAGUUGAUGAUCUUUAGUUUGUUCAGCUUUUUUUCUUGUUGCAAGAAUGGGAGAGAUGACUUCCAAGUUCUUUACUGGAAGUUGGCAUUUUCUUUUUUUUCUUUUCUUUUCUUUUUUUUUUUAAGUAAAUGUAAGUUUGUAGACUGAGAUGUGUACCCACUAUAGACUGAUCUCUACAAAUAUUGUUGGAAACUUCUCAGUAGCCAUUCAAUUCAAAAAAAGGACUCUCAGACCUAGUUUAGAGGAAUGUUACCGGAAAGGGGUCCCAAUCCAGACACCAAGAGAGGGUUCUUGGAUCUCACUCAAGAAAGAAUUUGAGGCAAAUCCAUAGAAUAAAGUGAAAGCAAGUUUAUUAAGAAAGUGAAGUAAUAAAAGAGUGGCUACUCCAUAGGCAGAGCAGCGGUGUGGGCUGCUCAGUUGCUUACACUUAUUGUGACUUCUGGAUUAUAUGCUAAACAAGGGGUGGAUUAUUCAUGAGUUUUCUAGGAAAGAGGUGGGCAAUUCUCGG